CUACGGGAGGCUCCAGUGAGGAAUAUUGCACAAUGGGGGGAACCCUGAUGCAGCAACGCCGCGUGGAGGAUGACGCAUUUCGGUGUGUAGACUCCUUUUAUAUGUCAAGAAAAUGACGGUAGCAUAUGAAUAAGCACCGGCUAACUCCGUGCCAGCAGCCGCGGUAAUACGGAGGGUGCAAGCGUUACUCGGAAUCACUGGGCGUAAAGGACGCGUAGGCGGGUUGGAAAGUCAGGUGUGAAAUCCUACAGCUUAACUGUAGGACUGCACUUGAAACUUCUAAUCUAGAGUAUGGGAGGGGGAGAUGGAAUUAGUGGUGUAGGGGUAAAAUCCGUAGAUAUCACUAGGAAUACCUAAAGCGAAGGCGAUCUCCUGGAACAUUACUGACGCUAAGGCGUGAAAGCGUGGGGAGCAAACAGGAUUAGAUACCCCGGUAGUC
rnacentral:rRNA from 1 species